AUUGAACGCUGGCGGCAUGCCUUACACAUGCAAGUCGAACGGUAACAGGUCUUCGGAUGCUGACGAGUGGCGAACGGGUGAGUAAUACAUCGGAACGUGCCCGAUCGUGGGGGAUAACGAAGCGAAAGCUUUGCUAAUACCGCAUAAGAUCUACGGAUGAAAGCAGGGGACCGCAAGGCCUUGCGCGAACGGAGCGGCCGAUGGCAGAUUAGGUAGUUGGUGGGAUAAAAGCUUACCAAGCCGACGAUCUGUAGCUGGUCUGAGAGGACGACCAGCCACACUGGGCCAGAGACACGGCCCAGACUCCUACGGGAGGCAGCAGUGGGGAAUUUUGGACAAUGGGCGAAAGCCUGAUCCAGCCAUGCCGCGUGCAGGAUGAAGGCCUUCGGGUUGUAAACUGCUUUUGUACGGAACGAAAAGACUCUUUCUAAUAAAGAGGGUCCAUGACGGUACCGUAAGAAUAAGCACCGGCUAACUACGUGCCAGCAGCCGCCGUAACAC
rnacentral:rRNA from 1 species